AAUAAAUAAAUAAAAAUCAACUGCGACGUUGUUAUUACUGAAAAAACAUCAAUAGAAAUGUAUCUCACAGAUUUACCGAUAUUUUCGGUAAAAAGUCAUGACCACUGUCCAAGUUUUACAAUGGGUCCUUCGUUCCUUUUCGGACCGUUAUGUAGUGAAUAGGGGAAGCUAACAUCCGAUUUCACCCAUCUUCAUACUGUAUGAGGAGAUAGUAGAAAACGUUUAUGCAGUAAGUUUUGUUAAAUAACAUUAGUAAGGCGGGCCGUGUCCUUUCAAAAACGUUUGAAUCCUACCACAAUUGAAUGUACUAAAUUAUACUUUUGUAUUUUAAUUUAUAAUUCAUCUGUAAAAUACACUAACCUUCUUAUUGUAUCAACGAA